CUUCCCCUCAUAUCUGCCCACACCCCCCAUAUCCCCCCCACCCAUCUGACCCCCCCCCCCAUAUCCCCCCCACCUCGGCUCCAUCCUCUCCCCCCCCCCGCAUCCCCCACGGGGUUCCAACAGGUUCAGGGGCGUUCCAGGCCAAACCAGCUCCACGGGCAGCCUGUGGGGAGAGUCACAAGGUCAGGCACAAGGUCAGGGUCACAGGCAGCAGGUUCAAGGUCAGGGGUCAAGUCAUGGUAGGUCCACUUAGGGUCAGGGUCAGAGGUUACAAGGUCAGGGGUCACAAGGUCAGGGGUCACAAGGUCAGGGGUCAGGGGUCACAAGGUCAGGGGUCACAAGGUCAGGGGUCAGGGGUCACAAGGUCAGGAGUCACAAGAUCAUGGGAUCAUAGGUCACAAGGUCAGGGGUCACAAGGUCAUGGGUCAGAGGUUACAAGGUCAGAGGUUACAAGGUCAGGGGUCAUAAGGUCAGUGCCCAGGGGUCACAAGGUCAAGGGGUCAGAGGUCAUAAGGUCAGAGAUUACAAGGUCAGGGGUCACAGGUCACAAGAUCAGGGGUCACAAGGUCAUGGGUCAGAGGUCACGAGGUCAAGGGAUUAGGGUUAGGGGUCAUGGGGGCAGAAGGGAACAAGAGAGGAUGGGGUUAAAGGUUAAAGGGUCAGGGGUCACGGGGUCAGGAGGUGGGGUCAAGGGUCACAGGGUCAGAGUUCACAAGGUCAGGGGCCAGGAUGUGGGGUCAAGGGUCAUGGGGUCAGAGGUCAUGGGGUAAAGAAACAGGGUCAGGGGUCAGGGUAUGAGGUCAGAGGUCAUGGGGUCAAGAUGUGGGGUCAGGGGUCACGGGGUCAGAGUUCAUGGGGUCAGGAUUUGGGGUCAGGGGUCAAAGGUCACGGGGUUAAGGGAACAGGGUCAAAGGUCACGGGGUCAGCAUCUGGUGUCAAGGGUCACGGGGUCAAGAUGCGGGGUCAAGGGGUCACGGGGUCAGAGUUCAUAGGGUCAGGAUAUGGGGUCAGGGGUCAAAGGUCAUGGGGUAAGGAAACAGGCAGGGGUCAUGGGGUCAGGAUGUGGGGUCAAGGGGUCACGGGGUCAGAGGUCACAAGGGGGAGGUCAAAGGUCACCUUUCGGCCACGCUCAGUGCCUGGCCGCCAUCUUGGCCCCACACGGAGGCGGCUGCGACGUGGGGCAGCUGGGAGCUGAGGGACACGGCGUCAGUGGGGCAGCGGAUGGGGAGCAGAACCAAUAGGGGACCCAUAACCUACAAUGGGGCAGGGGAUCCUAUAGGGCCGGACCCAUAGCGCCACGGCCACAUAGGAAUCCCAUAGCCCUAUAGGAACAACACCCUGCCCCAUAGACACAGCGUCAGUGGGGCAGCGGAUGGGGAGCAGAACCAAUAGGGGACCCAUAACCUGGUGUGGGACACACGACCCUAUAGACCUAUAGGAACAACACCCUGCCCCAUAGCCAUAUAGGAAUCCCGCAGCCCUAUAGGGCCUGCCCCAUAGCACUACAGCCCUAUAGGAAUCCCACAGCCUUAUAGGGCCUGCCCCAUAGCACCACAACCCUAUAGGAACAACACCCUGCCCCAUAGCCAUAUAGGAAUCCCACAGCCCUAUAGGAACAACACCCUGCCCCACAGCCCUAUAGGAAUCCCACAGCCCUAUAGGAACUGCCCCACAGCCCCAAAGGACCUGCCCCAUAGCCCUAUAGGAACAACCCCCUGCCCCAUAGACACAGCGUCAGUGGGGCAGCGGAUGGGGAGCAGAACCAAUAGG
rnacentral:lncRNA from 1 species